AGCGAACGCUGGCGGCAGGCUUAACACAUGCAAGUCGAGCGGGCAUCUUCGGAUGUCAGCGGCAGACGGGUGAGUAACACGUGGGAACGUACCCUUCGGUUCGGAACAACUCUGGGAAACUGGAGCUAAUACCGGAUACGCCCUUAUGGGGAAAGGUUUACUGCCGAAGGAUCGGCCCGCGUCUGAUUAGCUAGUUGGUGGGGUAACGGCCUACCAAGGCGACGAUCAGUAGCUGGUCUGAGAGGAUGAUCAGCCACACUGGGACUGAGACACGGCCCAGACUCCUACGGGAGGCAGCAGUGGGGAAUAUUGGACAAUGGGCGCGAGCCUGAUCCAGCCAUGCCGCGUGAGUGAUGAAGGCCUUAGGGUUGUAAAGCUCUUUUGUCCGGGACGAUAAUGACGGUACCGGAAGAAUAAGCCCCGGCUAACUUCGUG
rnacentral:rRNA from 1 species